GACGAACGCUGGCGGCGUGCCUCAUACAUGCAAGUCGAACGCAGUGGGGACGGGUGAGUAACACGCGGGUAACCUCCCAUCAGAGGGGAUAACACUUGGAAACAGGUGCUAAACCGAUACUGAAGGUGGGGAUUGCGUCUGAUUAGCUAGUUGGUGAGGUAACGGGUCACCAAGGACAGGAUGGCAGGCCGACCUGAGAGGGGGAUCGGCCGAACUGGGACUGAGACACGGCCCGAACUCCAACGGGAGGCAGCAGGAGGAGAUCUUCGGAAAUGGACGAAAUGCUGGCCGAGCAACACCGCGGGAGUGAAGAAGGUUUUCGGAUCGUAAAACUCUGUUGUUAGAGAAGCGGUAACUAACCAGAAAGCCACGGCUAACUACGUGCGAGCCGCCGCGGUAAUAC
rnacentral:rRNA from 1 species